rnacentral:rRNA from 1 species
ACUGCUCAGUAACACGUGGACAACCUACCCUCAGGAGGGGGAUAACCCCGGGAAACUGGGGAUAAUACCCCAUAGACCAGGGACGCUGGAAUGCCUCCUGGUCCAAAGGUCCGCCGCCUGAGGAUGGGUCUGCGGUCGAUUAGGUUGUUGUUGGGGUAACGGCCCAACAAGCCUUUGAUCGGUACGGGUUGUGAGAGCAAGAGCCCGGAGAUGGAUUCUGAGACACGAAUCCAGGCCCUACGGGGCGCAGCAGGCGCGAAAACUUUACAAUGCGAGAAAUCGUGAUAAGGGAACCCCGAGUGCCCGUAAAUUCGGGCUGUCCGCCAGUGCAAAUAGCUGGUGAAGAAAGGGCCGGGCAAGACCGGUGCCAGCCGCCGCGGUAAUACCGGCGGCUCGAGUGGUGGCCACUAUUACUGGGCUUAAAGCGUCCGUAGCUUGAUUGUUAAGUCUCUUGGGAAAUCCACCGGCUCAACCGAUGGGCGUUCAGGAGAAACUGGCAAUCUAGGGACCGGGAGAGGUGAGAGGUACUCCAGGGGUAGGAGUGAAAUCCUGUAAUCCUUGGGGGACCACCUGUGGCGAAGGCGUCUCACUAGAACGGCUCCGACAGUGAGGGACGAAAGCUGGGGGAGCAAACCGGAUUAGAUACCCGGGUAGUCCCAGCUGUAAACGAUGCGCGUUAGGUGUAUCGGUGACCACGAGUCAUCGAGGUGCCGAAGGGAAACCGUGAAACGUGCCGCCUGGGAAGUACGGUCGCAAGGCUGAAACUUAAAGGAAUUGGCGGGGGAGCAC